rnacentral:rRNA from 1 species
ACUCCUACGGGAGGCAGCAGUGGGAAUAUUGCACAAUGGGGGAAACCCUGAUGCAGCCAUGCCGCGUGUGUGAGAAGGCGCUUCGGGUUGUAAAGCACUUUCAGUAGGGAGGAAGGUAGUGUAGUUAACACCUGCAUUAUUUGACGUUACCUACAGAAGAAGCACCGGCUAACUCCGUGCCAGCAGCCGCGGUAAUACGGAGGGUGCGAGCGUUAAUCGGAAUUACUGGGCGUAAAGCGCAUGCAGGCGGCCUGUUAAGUCAGAUGUGAAAGCCCGGGGCUUAACCUCGGAAUUGCAUUUGAAACUGGCAGGCUAGAGUCUUGUAGAGGGGGGUAGAAUUUCAGGUGUAGCGGUGAAAUGCGUAGAGAUCUGAAGGAAUACCAGUGGCGAAGGC